AUGGUUGUCGAUAUCACUAUCGAUCCGGUAUCAGCUACCUCCCUGUGGAUCGACUACGACCAUGCAGGGCACAGAUUGUCGGUCUACGACCACGAGGACUUCCUAGCCAAACCCAUAGCUGAGGUGCCCCUGAACAUUACCAGCUUUCCUCCGCAGUCCUUUUUCUUCCUCGUCUCUACGGCGGAGCAGGUACGCAGCUCUCGAGUUCGCUGGAACGCGACGAUCGAGUACCUCCCUCAGUACAACGGCUUGCCAAGGAAGGUGGCCAUCUUGUCCUCUGUCCUCGGAUCCGUAGCUGCCACCGCCUUGAUGGCUGUCGGCCUGGCGUGCUACUUCAACUCGAGGUACCGACGGUGGCACAAGGAUCUGGACCAGCUCGCCAGGUCCAUGGAGCGCCUCCCUGGGAUGCCCACGAAGGUGGAGUUCGCAGACAUCAAGAAGGCCACCAGCAACUUCCACGAAGCCAUGAAGCUCGGCGGUGGCGGGUUUGGAACCGUGUACAGGUGCACGCUCCCAGCAGCAGCUUCCAAGACAGAGCGGCCAAUGGACGUGGCCGUCAAGAGGUUCACGCGCGACGUGGAGAACCGACGCUACGACGACUUCCUCGCCGAGGUCAGCAUCAUCAACAGGCUACGCCACAAGAACAUUGUCCCUCUCAUCGGUUGGUCUUACAAUAAAGGAGAGCCUCUGCUUGUGUUCGAAUUCAUGACCGGCAGUUUGGACCAACAUCUCUUCCCGAGAGGCGGCGGUCACACCGGGCAGCAACGGGAGCAAGGCACUGACGCGGCCGCCAUCCAACAAUGGGCCACCCGGUACGAGAUCGUCAGAGACGUAGCCACCGGGCUGCACUACAUCCACCACGAGUACGAGCCCAUGGUCCUCCACUGCGACAUCAAGGCGAGCAACGUGAUGCUGGACUCAAGCCUCCGCGCCCGCCUCGGCGACUUUGGACUUGCCUGCACCGUCGACGUCGACAGGAACUCCGCCACUGGCGUCGGUGGCACCCGGGGAUACAUCGCGCCGGAGUACGCUAUGUUGGGCAAGGCGACGCGGCAGACCGACAUCUACGCGCUCGGGGUGCUCAUCCUGGAGGUCGUCACGGGCCAGCGGGUGCUGAUUCAUCGGGCGGCGGAUGACGACGACGUCCAUAUCACCGACCGGGUGUGGCGUCUAUACCGCGAGGGGAGGCUACUGGAGUGCGUCGAUGCAGUGCUGGUCGCUAGUUCUUCUCCGGACGAGGACAGCCUGCACGCUGGCGGUGACGCCGAACGCCUGCUGCUCCUGGGCCUGGCGUGCAGCAGCCCAAACCCGUCGGACCGGCCGACCAUGCCCGAGGUGGUGCAGGUCAUCGCCAAGUCGGCGCCGCCGCCCGAGGUGCCUCUGAUGAAACCAAGGUUCGUGUGGCCGCCGCCGGAAGGGGUGGCCUGGGACAGUGAUGAUGGCGUGGGCACGUCGAUGACAUGUAAUCUCGAGGAGAGUAUGGCGAGCACGGCCGAGCGUCAGUCGCAGUGGCUGACGGCGGCAUCGCAGAGGCGGGCUACCGGAGGACAUGCCUCGUUUCAAGUGGAGCCAUCCGUUUAUGUCACUAUGCCCAGUGCUCUCGGCUCCGGCGAGAGGCCGAGCAGAGCAUAG
rnacentral:rRNA from 1 species